AACCCAAAUGGACCCGACCCGA
rnacentral:siRNA from 1 species